UGGGUAAAUUUGCUGGAUCCGCGAAAGGAUUUGAUCGAGUCUAGAUCGUUUACUGGCGUUGAUUGCCACCCUACUUCCUGCCGCGCCUUUGAUCCAGUUCCAAGAACCAUUAAGGUAUAGACAGAGGGUUUGGGCCCCAGAUCUCUAUCUUUUGCAGCAAUAGUGAAGCGAGGUCUGAAGAUGUCGGACCGGCGAACUGGUGGAACCAGCUCUGGCACGGCUGGCCCCUCAAAAACAGCCGUGCAGAAGUCCAGUUCCUAUGGGGGCGUAAGCAGCCAUCUGCCCCCGCCCUCCAAAGAUCCUGCUCCUGCCCCGAAACCUACCAAGUCCACAGCAUCUACGACUGCUUCCUCUCAGGUACAAUCCUCUCAACCUGUGAAGGGAGAAAUCAAGCAGGUGCUAGAUCCGAGGUAUAAGGAUAUGAUCUGCUUUAAUUGUGGAGGCCCAGGUCACUAUGUAGGUAACUGUGCCAAGCCAAAAACUUGUUUCGUCUGCCAACAGAAUCACAAUGUUAACAACUGUGCUGCAUGGUCUAAGGUUCACCCACUGCUGCUUUCUUUGGCAGUGGGCCAAGGGGGCUUGGUUUCUACCAUGUUGAUGUGCAUGUAGCUAAUGAGUCCAACUGGUUGAGCUUUCAAAACUGUGCUGUGGUGAACAUUCUUAAAGGUGAAGUGGACAAAUAUAGGUUGUGAGUUCUUCUGGUUAACUUUCAUUGAAGUGGACAAAAAUAGGUUGUAUAAAAAAUUUAAUACGCAAAGGAACCUUGAUCUUCCAAAUGUGCAAUGACCUUGAGAGCGGGCCAGAAUUAAUCAAAUCCGUAUAGAAAGAUUUCACCGUAAAAAUCCCAUUCUUAGUUAACUUCCAUUGUGACGCAUCCGGUUGAUCGGAGAGUUGAACGUCUAUCAGUCUCCGAACCAAAUGCAUCCAGGCGGUCCAUCUCUCACCAACUAACACCCGUCUGAACUGGAUGUAUCGAGGAUCUUUUGCCUCUCGACUGUAACUCUAUCAAUAUGGAAUAAAACUCCUUUUUCAUCGCAAAAAAAAGAUUAAUCCUUUCUCUACUUCCCACACCACACACGGGCAGGGCUGCUAGCAUGGAGAUUGACGUUACGCCUACGCCACUAGUAUAAAAACCCCAGCUCCCCCCUUGGGGGCGAGGCAGAGCAGAGCAGAGCAGGACCUAGACUAGAGAGAAGAUCUUUAGUGCUCUAGUACUUUUUGAGGAGGAGAGAGAAUGAUGGAGGUGGCGGUGGAGAGCCCGCAGCCGGCGGCUUGGGACCAGUUCAAGGAGAAGGUGGAGAUCAUGGAGGAGGAGAAUGGUGGUGCUUCCGCAGCCGCAGCCGCCGCCACUGCUGCUGCAGGGGAGCUGCUGACCAGGGAGAUCAAGAAGAGGUUGCUGAACCACGCCCAUGAGAAUGGGAAUGGCCAUGGCCAUGUCAGUGGAGGAGGACCAGAGGAGCUCAAGGUUGUUCCCGAGGAGGAGGACAAGGUGGAGGAGGCUCCUGAAGAGCCCAAGGUUGCUGAAGAGGAGCAGAAGUCGCACCUGCAGCAGACUAUCUUCUUCGAUGCAGCCAAAGGGUUAUGGAAGUGCUGGCACUGCGAUUGGACGUACCGCCUGACUAGUCCAUGCGAAAAUGGUACCGUAGAUCAUCGAGGCUAUCGCCACCAAAUCGAGCAGAAUCUCGAAUCGUUGGUUGAGAAAAAGGAUCGUAAAACGGUUCACCGAACAAAGCCUCCUCAAGCAGAGGAGGAGAAGGAGGAGGAGGAGGCUCCUGAAGAACCCAAGGUUGCGAAAGAGGAGCAGCUGCGGCACAAGAGUAUCUUCUUCGAUGCAGCCAAAGGACUAUGGAAGUGCCGGCACUGCGAUUGGACGUACCGCUUGGCUAGUCCGUGUGGGGAAAUCGUACCGUAGAUCAUCGAGGCUUAUUAAAACCAGAGCAUUUGGCAGUUGAAUCAUAUUCGGAGAACCAAGCUGCUGCAGAUCAAGUGCAGUCCGAGAUGCAGAACUCCAACGAUACAACCACUAAAAUUGAAUCUCGCACAUAUGCUCAUCAUAGUCAUGGCACAGUUGUAAAACCAGAGCACUCGAUAACCGAAUCAUCGCCGGCAGAUCAGAAC